UGUUCCCUGCUUUUUUACAGGCUUGGGAAGACACACCAGGCUGUGUUUUAUAAGGCCAUUAAUUGACACCUCAGACUGCUGAAGGCAGCGAGCUGAACAGCCUGCAAAGCUCUUAUUAAUAGCUCUUAUUAAACAGCUCUCUCUUCACUGUCUGCUUUUAAUUUACAUCAGAAAUGUUGAUGCCAUUCUGUCUUAGAGAGGUUUUUGCGUGCUCCAGGCUCCUGCAGAGGGUGGAGUUACCGAACUCUUCGAGAGAUCAAGAAGGGAUUGAAAAGCUUUGGAAAGCUGAACCAUCUGCACCAGCCACGGCUCGAUAGGAACCCGCAUGAUCUCUGCACUGCACACAGCUCCAAUGGCUCUCUGCAUUUUCUCACCUUCUAUUUCAAGUAUUCAUUACAAAUGGGAUAAAAUAAAACUGGUAAAAACUU